CCUACGGGUGGCAGCAGUGAGGAAUAUUGGUCAAUGGGCGGGAGCCUGAACCAGCCAAGCCGCGUGAGGGAAGAAGGUACAGCGUAUCGUAAACCUCUUUUGUCAGGGAACAAAGGCGGGGACUAGUCCCCGGAUGCGGGUACCUGAAGAAAAAGCAUCGGCUAACUCCGGGCCAGCAGCCGCGGUAAUCCGGAGGAUGCGAGCGUUAUCCGGAUUUAUUGGGGUUAAAGGGUGCGCAGGGGGCCUGUUAAGUCAGCGGUAAAAGCCUGGGGCUAAACCUCGAAGAGCCGUUGAAACUGGCGGGCUGGAGUGGAAGAGAGGUACGCGGAAUGCGCGGUGUAGCGGUGAAAUGCUUAGAUAUCGCGCAGAACCCCGAUGGCGAAGGCAGCGUACCG
rnacentral:rRNA from 1 species